AGCUCUGAGCGCGCCCCUACCCGGCUCGGGCCCGCAGCAGCCCGGACUGUCCGAGAGCCUCCCCGCAAGCAAGGCUGUGCGCCUCCCUCUGAGCGCACCUCCUGGCCACAACGCCGCCUGCGCUUCUCCAGCCCAGGCCGGAAGCCCUAUGCUGCCUUCCGAAGCCGGAACUCAGGUCCCCUUUCACUCCCUUCUUGCAUACCCCUGGCACUUGCUCGUUUUGAGGAGCAGGGAACUCUCGGUUCUCCAUUCAGGACUUUCUGGAAGCCCACCUCCAUAUGCUCACCAGCCCACCCUCCUACGCUGGUCAGAGUGAGAUUGCUAACCUCAAGACCCCAUUCAAUGCCAGCUUUCAACUACUGCUGAAGACCAAUGUAGGUCCCAGGAUAGAAGAACCGCAGAGUAGGCAGACAAAAGCUACCACGUCCACUUGGAGUGACGCCCAGACAUGCACACAGGAAGCCAAGGAGAGUGGGCUCAACCAGAGUACAGUACUUCCUGCAAGAUGCCCAGU
rnacentral:lncRNA from 1 species